rnacentral:lncRNA from 1 species
GCGGCGGGAAGGCUGCAGGUGAGGACCCCGGCUCGGGGCUGUGUGCUUGCAGGUGUGCGCGCGAUGGCGGGGACAGGACGGGGUCCGCCGCGAGCUCGUGAGGGCGGCGAGAGCAGGAAGAACCUGGGCCCGUGGUAAUGCUGAGCCGCUGAGCUGAUCACACCUGGAGCCGCCCUACCUGGCCCUGCUGGGAUCACAGACGUUUCCCCGGACAAACCCUAGCUCCGGAGCUUGCAGGACGGGGGCGACACAGAUCCGAAGAGGUUAGAGACCGAGCCGUGCGGACCGCCAAGGGGAAAUGUUGCAGGCUGAGGGAACGGAGGCUGCGUGCGUCCCGAGGCGCGGGCCUGGUGGUGCUCGAUCCGGGAUGGGGUUUUACCCAGUUUCCUCGGAGGUGGUUAGCCUGUCUCACGGACGCUGCGGGGAGACACAAGUCUCUUGGGUCAGAGACGAUGGACUUUAGUACCCUCAUGGCCCAGCAAUGCAUUCAAAGGGAGACCCUCUCCCCCUCCUGCUGGGAGGGUCUGGGAAGCCGUGCUGCACAGGACGAGGAUGGGGGGGUGCCGCCCCAGCAAGGGCAGGAACCAGGUAACUCGGGAGCUUGAGGACACGGAGAGAAUACCCCCUGCCUCUGACCAAUCACUCCGCGUCUCACGGGAAGCUUGUCUCUGGCAGCACCCCAGACUUCCCCAGGCCUGACUACGCAUCCCACGAAGGGCCAGAUGCCGCCGCCCUGUGGGUCCUAGAGAGAACCCACCCCCUUGUCUGCCGGCCUCCGAAGCAAGCCUGACCGCGGUGAGCCUUCCGGGAGUUGGGAGGGGUGGGGACAGCCUGGGAAGAGCACGUGGUGGCAGCUCUCACCAGCGCCACCGUGACCAGCCCCACCCCCACUGACUACCGGCGCUCGCCCUGCGUUCCAGCUUGCCACCGCGUUAGGAGAGCCAUUUGCUCACGCGGCGUGUGCCCCUGCUGGGAGCUGCUCUCUCGUUAUUAGCUAAUUUGCUGUGCUGUAACCGAGCCCUUCUCAUCGAUAACCAUGGCAACAAUGCGCAGCCCUGUGCAUGCCUUUAUUUUGGACUCUGGAAGCCCGAGCCCGGUCUAUUUCUGUCUCUGGGCUUCGGGGAGGCAUGGGGCCGGGGCUGGGGGACCCACCGGGGCCCGUGGUUGGGUGACUUCAAACGGAGAACUUCUCUUCUGGGGCCUCCGGGUCCCUAACCGUGGGGCACGGGCGUGAGGGUCCCGGCCUCGGAGGACCCUCCCAACGGUGUGUGUCCGCGAG